GACGAACGCUGGCGGCGUGCUUAACACAUGCAAGUCGAACGGAAAGACGCUGCGUUUGUGGGGUGCUCGUGUGGCGAACGGGUGAGUAACACGCGAGUAACCUGCCCUUGUCUUUGGGAUAAAUUCAGGAAACUGGGGCUAAUACCGGAUAGGAGCUCCUGAUGCAUGGUGGGGGUUGGAGAGUUUCGGCGGUUGGGGAUAGACUCGCGGCUUAUCAGCUAGUUGGGCGGGUAGUGGAUUACCAAGGCUUUGACGGGUAGCCGGCCUGAGAGGGUGACCGGCCACAAGGGGACUGAGGUAGGGCCCAGACGCCUACGGGAGGCAGUAGGGGGGAGUAUGGCACAACGGGCGGGAGCCAGAUGCAGCAACGCCCCGUGCGGGAUGACGGCUUUCGGGGUGUAAACCGCUUUCGCCUGUGACGAAGCGUGAUUGACGGUAAUGGGUAAAGAAGCACCGGCUAACUACGUG
rnacentral:rRNA from 1 species